ensembl:lncRNA
CUGGUGCGCGGGGCAGGGGUCCUGCUGGGGAGCGUGCAAACGCCGCGUUGGGGUGGAAACCCCGAUUAGAGGCAUUCAUGGAAUUGCUAACGACCUUGCUACAUCCUAAAUCACUCAAGGUGGGGACUGAAGCAGCAGUGGGGAUUUUUUUUGCAUGAAAGCGUUUCCUUUUGCAUGAUCUACUUGGUCUGCAGAGGGUGCAUAAGCAAAGAAGUCACUGGCUUUUUUUGCAGCAACAUCGCACUGUUUGCAAUGAAUUGUUUUGCAUCCAGGAUGGAGGGGGGGAAAAAAAUAUAUAUAUAUAUAUAUAUAUAUAUAUAUUUGCAAAGCAAGCUGUUUCCCACCACCACCCACCCCAGCUCCUCUCUGCAACUUGCAAUAGCUGUUUUUGUCAGGGAGUUUAUCACUGUGAUACCAACCACCAGUAUAACCCACAGUGCCGCAGGGCAGUGCAAAAUCCUGCAUCGGCAGGAAAAGACCCUUUUUGGCUUUUUGGGGUUUUUUUGCACCAGGUCUCCAGCUGCAAGAUCCCUCCAUUGCAGGUGGCGAUUUGGAUGCCGCUGGGGGUUUUUGUCGCGGCCUGGAGCACUGUGCACAGCAGCUACUACUAGUAGGCACCGUGGUCGGCCGCCGUGCAAAAAUCCCCCACUGGUUUUGCACAGGGCUGAGUGGCAUUUUCGGCACACAGACAUCAUAAACUGCAGCGGGAUGAAAUCCCCCGGUGUCGACUCCUUGCACCCUGCAACUGAAAGCAUAAAUCCCCAAAGCAAUUCCCAGGGYGACGUAUAUUCCUUUAUAUCCCUUGCUGGUGGCACGUUCCUUUAUAUUGCAACGUAUUCCUGGCGGACCACCCGUUUUGCAAAGAUUUGGAGGGGUUUAGGGCCUCUCUUAGCAUAGCAGCCCAUGGAUUCCCAGGGGAAAAGAAAAACAUUUUCCAGCAUGGAUUUGCUUUUUAAUGCGCCUCCGGCGUGCACGCACAGAAAUCCCCAUGCAUCUACGUCUGCAUUGGAUUUUUUUUUUGCAGCAGCGUCCAGCUGGCAAAUGCUGUGCUGCAAAUUUUGUACAAUUUCCGAGUGGGGUGCAAUCGCCCUUUGCAAUUUCCAUGAGUGCAAUUGCCCUUUGCAGCGCCUCCUGCCUUAUCCUUGCCGUUUUGGGGUUUGCAACAAGGAAUUGCAUGGUGCAAUGCGCCGUUUUCUUUGCUUUUUGCUUUUUCCACUCCCUGGGCAAAGAAAACCCUUUUUUUUUGGUGAACGUGAUGCCUUAAAUCCCAUUUUACGGCUCCAUCGCACCAGCAUCGUCCGUUGUCUCCCUCGCAGCAACGGGAGGGCCGUGUCUGCUGGCAAAUGCAGCCGCCGGGUGCUGGGAAGGUGCAUUUUGCUCCAGGAUAAAAACGAGAAGUUGCUGUCGUGCAACGGGCGAUUCCCAGUCCGGGUGGCUUUUGGCAACGGCGCCAGGAAACAGGUGGAAAAACUGCAGAUUCAGGUCGGCUGCGGUGCUCCCCUCGCUGCCCGCUCCCCAGCCCCGAGAGCCGGCGGCACCCGGACACGGCGGCUUUUUAAGCUCGUUUUGGGGGGCUGGAUUUGCAGAAACGGAAAGGCGGCAGCAUCCGGGGGGUGGAGAAAUGCGGUGGGAAAUAGCAAGAAAAAGAAAAAAAAAAAGCAAUUCACCUUAAUGCAAAUCAACCUGGGGCACACAAAGGUCCGAAACUGCCCCGAAAUGCCCUUUGCGGGUAACUUUCUCCCUCCAAUGCCUAGAGGAAGUUAUAAAAAUAGCUGUUUGAUGAUUUGCAAGGGGCACAAGCGAAACGAGGCUUUUGCUGGCUCCAGGGACCGUAUUUUGGGUUAUUUCCCUGUUACAUCUGCUGCUGUGCUGCGUAACGAGUGCAUGGGGGUUUUUUUGCUGUAAAAAGCUUUAUUAAAGCACCGUUUCUGGAGCAAUUCUUGCAAUUGCAACCGGGUUGGAUUCUCUGGUCCUUUCACAGGAUCUGCCAGGAUUUUGUCGAAGGUUGCAUCACCCCAGGGGGGAAAAACCUGGGUGUUUGCAAAAAAAUGCACUUUUCCCCUGAGGACAGGCAGAUUUUUGUGCUCGGAAAGGAGGUUUCUCUCCUUUUUUUUGCUUGGCAAGUAAAUGCUUGGCGCUCACCGGAAGAAGAAAAAAAAAAAAGGCAACUUCCUGGGGUUUGAUUUUUUGCAAAAUGAAAAGUUACACAAUUGCAAAAUUUUGCAAAAAGGAGCGACCUGCCUUUUGCAGAAUCGCCCCAUCUUUUUGCAUUGCAGCCUGACACAUCCCUUUGCCUUAGCUCAUCCUUGCGUUGCUCCGGCGGUGAAGCGGUAGUGUGCAAAAAGCAAUUUUCUUUCCCAUAGGUGUUCGUGGCUUUUGCCAGGCUGGAAGAAUUUAGGGCAGUUCUGUCAUUCCUCCAAGCUGCCAGCCUAGAAACCUGGAAAUGCAGGAGGUGAUUUUGGGGUUGUUUUCCCUAUUCUGGUGUCCUAUCCAUUGCAUAGAAGAGGAAAGGAGGGAAUUGGUGCAUGCACGGCCGGGUUGGUGCACGCACCCUGUGCGACGUGCCGGCUYUUCCAGGCAGGCCCAGCAGUCGGCUCGAUGCCGACCGUGGGAGACGCAUGGGGCUUUGCAUCCCCCCGUUCCCCCCGGAGCGGAGCCGUUUGCUUCCCAGUGUGCACGUCCGCCACUUUUCAUGUGCCGGCGGAGGGAGGGGGAUUCCCUUGCCGCACGGAGAGAAAAUUCGUGCCGAUUUAUGCAUUUCACGGCUGAGGAGCAGCUAUUCUUUUGCAGCUGUUUCCCCCUUGCGGUUGAGCUGGGGCUUCCCCCCUCCCUGCUCUGGUUCUCGCAUCCAGGAGCAGUGCAGGGGAGGGGGAUCCGGGCAAUGUUUUGGGGCUGGGAUUUGGCG